UGAGGAAUAUUGGUCAAUGGGCGCAAGCCUGAACCAGCCAUCCCGCGUGCAGGAAGAAGGCGCUAUGCGUCGUAAACUGCUUUUUCAGGGGAAGAAAAUCCUGUACGUGUACGGGACUGACGGUACCCUGUGAAUAAGCAUCGGCUAACUCCGUGCCAGCAGCCGCGGUAAUACGGAGGAUGCGAGCGUUAUCCGGAUUCAUUGGGUUUAAAGGGUGCGUAGGCGGAACGAUAAGUCAGUGGUGAAAUUCUGCAGCUUAACUGUAGACGUGCCAUUGAUACUGUCAGUCUUGAGUAUGGUCAAGGUAGGCGGAAUGUGUAAUGUAGCGGUGAAAUGCUUAGAUAUUACACAGAACACCGAUUGCGAAGGCAGCUUGCUGGGCCAUUACUGACGCUGAUGCACGAAAGCGUGGGGAUCGAACAGG
rnacentral:rRNA from 1 species